rnacentral:rRNA from 1 species
UCAAAAAAACUUGUUUCCUAAAUAGAGACUAGUAUCAACGGCUUCACGAGGGUUAAACUGUCUCCCACCCCCCAUCAGUGAAACUGAUCUCCCCGUGAAGAAGCGGGGAUACAGCUAUAAGACGAGAAGACCCUAUGGAGCUUCAGGCAAUGCAGGCACCAUUACAAAACAAAACCACACAUAUACUAAAUCUGCCUGCCAGCCUUAGGUUGGGGCGACCGCGGAGUAAAAUAAAACCUCCACAACAAACAGGACUACACCUUAAUCCAAGAGCCACCACUCCAAGAAUAGAUAAAUCAAUGUAAUAUGACCCGAUAAUCGAUCAAUGAACCAAGUUACCCUAGGGAUAACAGCGCAAUCCAUUUCUAGAGCCCAUAUCAACAAAUGGGUUUACGACCUCGAUGUUGGAUCAGGGUAUCCCAGUGGUGCAGCCGCUACUAAAGGUUCGUUUGUUCAACGAUUAAAACCCUACGUGAUCUGAGUU